GCAGAAUCAUUGAGCAUUUUAGCUUGAAUGGCUUUCAAAGUAAUAAGAUACAAAAUUACCUUUUGUCUUAUUGUAGAUCUUCAUGCAUUAUUGCCAUCAUUUCAGCGUAUUUCUACUUAUUUCUUCCUGCAAUUUAUCCUUCAGAUUACUAUUCCUCAUUCUGUCUUGCCUAGCAAUGUCUUACACUUAGAAUGUAAAGUUCUCCUAUGACUCAUAUUCCAGGCAAAAUGCCAUUCAUUCUAAUAGAGUGAAACCAAGUAUAUAUUCCCCACAUUAAUUUAUCCAAAUCUGUUUUUUGUUCAGAUCAUUUUCUGCACUUUCAGAUAUAUCUUAUUUGUUCCUGACCUCUUCUGGAGCUCUCAGCGCAUUUCAAAGUUUAAUAGAUUAGACACCACAGCUCCACUAUGAAACAGAACUUGCAUUCCUUGGCUGCCUCUGGAUGUGCAAAUGCUGGUGGAGGCUGGAACCCCCCUGUGCCUGACUAGCAGCCAGCGAAUACCUGCCUUGGUCAAGGACCUUGCUGCAUCUUUCUGCAUUUCUCACUUCCAUUCUGGAUCACUGCACUCCUCACCAGAGCAAAGGUCGGAUUCUGGCUAUUUCCAUCAGGUAUUUCAAGCAAACAGAGAGCUCUGCCUGAGCAUCCACUUCUGAAUCACUGAGGAGCUGAAGUGUUUUCUAGUCCAUUGGGAUAAGAGCUGCUUAGUCCUGAAAUACAGUGCUACUCUUUGGCUUCUCCAAGGAUUAAACCUUUUUUUCUGCUAAGUUAAAAGGAGUUUUUCUAUUGUUUUGAAUCAUGAUAGGAAUUUUUCUCAGCAAGUAGUGGUAUCCAUAGGAGGCACUGUUUCUCUGAGCAGUCCCAGAGCAGGGACAGAGUUUCUGGCGCUAUGCUGUUGAUAAGCAGGGAUUAUGAGGAUUCCUCCUGGCACUGGCAUGGAACAUCCCAGAAAAGAAAUUGGAGUUGUUGCCUAAGGAUUUACCAAUCCUGCAUCACUGCUUAUGUCUCCUAAGUAAUCUUGCUCUGUCACAUAGCACUUCUGAUGUCUGCUCAGUGGUAUGGCAUUCAUUACUUCAGUCUCUGGUUUCUGUCUGUGCUUUCUAUCACCUUUGCAAGAUUUCAUGAACUAAUGGGAAAAGCAUAAAGGACAGAGAGGCAACCGAUCGCUGCUGGCUCCAGAAUAAAGCACCGUCACUGAGAUGUCUGUGUAUAAAAUCAACAGCUCUUCUAAAAAUCAUUGCUUGCAUAUACAAUACAGGAGCUGGUGAACUACACAAAAUGUAUGGAUUUUGUCAGCUAUCUUGUUUAGAUACAGCUUUGAACGUUAGAUUUGAGAUGAUUCAGAAGCAUCUAGUUGUUUUUAUGUCCUCACCGGCCUCCAAUUGCUGCUGCAGAAGUACUCACAUCUGUAAGUUUAGUAUACCUGCCAGCCCAACAAAGAUGCCUUGGACAACCUGGGGCAUCUGAAUGGCACAGAUCCUUAGUUCAGAUGUGUCCUGAUCAUUCCCAAGAUGUCUGCCUAGCUGGGAAAAUGGAAUACAUUUGAAGUUCAAAGCUUGUAUCUUCUGAGUAGGAUAAAAGGGUUUCCUUUGUCUUAGUUUAAUGGAUCAUUAUAAGAACAAGCAGCCCUUCAUGUUUCUGCACAUGAAAGAAAACCCAGAAAGUCACAAGCUCUCACAUGCAGCUGAAAACUGGAAGUAUAUAAUAUGUCUAGAACUCAUAUGCAGGCUGUGGAUUUAAGAGUGUCAGUCUUUAUGUCACCUGAUUGCUUUCAUACAAUGUAAGGCAUUGUGGUGCUUUGAUUAAAAAUUCAUUAGAUUUCAGUAGUACCAAAGACUGUCUUCAUCUAAAUGUGAGUAGACUGUUGUGAGAACUUUGCCAUUUUGUGAUGAGGAGAAUGCACCGGUUGUGUGAUCUGCGAGUUUCAUUUCUACAUCUACAAAUCUCUUUCCAAACAUGAUUUAAAUAUGCUUCAUGCCAUGUAACUCAAACAAUUCCAUGAAAAAAAAGUGGAGCUAAAUAAAAUGGAAGUGAUCUGAAACUUUCAUCUUUGUUCUAAAAGCACAUAAUCUUGUCACUUAACUGACAACAGUAAGGUGAUAUGAAUUUCCUCAAUCUAAGUCCUGGAAUCAUAUAAUGUCACACCUAUUUGUGUAAUGGUAAAGAAAAAUUAUACAUUCUAAAAAGCAAAAUAAAAAGAACCCCAAAAGAAUUAACAACAAUAACAAACUUUUAUGAUUUUGGAGGGCUGCCUCAUGAAUGUUGAAUGCUUGUCAUUAACGAUACAUAAAUAAAAUAUUGGGCUUUAGAUUCUCUGGUUCUUCAGGUCUUUGUGGCUGUUAAAUCACAGCAUACUCUGGCUUUUGUCCCACUGGACUCCACUGGUAACCUCAUUUUUUUGCAGCAGAUUCAGACUGAACAUACAGUAGUGAAGCUGCUGUGUCAGCAAUCCCACACACCUCUCCUGCUCUGUACUCUAUUAAUCUCUUUGAAGCAAAAGGAACCUCCUAUUCCACUCAUCUACACUUUUUCUAACACCUCCCCCAUUAGGGUCCCAGUCUGUGCUGCUUUUCUUCCUCCAGCCUGGAUGGUUUGGGAAUGUUCCACCUCAGCUGUCCUUGUGGGAGUAAAAGGCAAAAGAUCAGACAAGAGACAGCACGCCUUUGAGAAUGUGGAUGUAUCCAGGAAGGCUUAGUUCUGCCACCUUCAACUGUCUGGAAACACACUCUGUGAGUCACUUAACUGACUUUCAUAACCUUAUUCACUAGUUCAUACAGAAACGUACAGAGGAAAGAUAACAGAAGCGACAAGUCUGGAAUGUGUUUGCUUCUUGUGCCUCAAGUCAUGCAUGCUGAA